rnacentral:rRNA from 1 species
GAUGAACGCUCGCUACAGGCUUAACACAUGCAAGUCGAGGGGCAGCAUGAACUUAGCUUGCUAAGUUUGAUGGCGACCGGCGCACGGGUGAGUAACACGUAUCCAACCUGCCGAUGACUCGGGGAUAGCCUUUCGAAAGAAAGAUUAAUACCCGAUGGCAUAGUUCUUCCGCAUGGUAGAACUAUUAAAGAAUUUCGGUCAUCGAUGGGGAUGCGUUCCAUUAGGUUGUUGGCGGGGUAACGGCCCACCAAGCCUUCGAUGGAUAGGGGUUCUGAGAGGAAGGUCCCCCACAUUGGAACUGAGACACGGUCCAAACUCCUACGGGAGGCAGUAGUGAGGAAUAGUGGUCAAUGGACGAGAGUCUGAACCAGCCAAGUAGCGUGAAGGAGGACUGCCCUAUGGGUUGUAAACUUCUUUUAUACGGGAAUAAAGUGAGGCACGUGUGCCUUUUUGUAUGUACCGUAUGAAUAAGAAUCGGCUAACUCCGUG